AGCCUGUGAGUUGCUGUAGAGCUCACAGCUACUUCCCUGCAUUCCCUACAGAAUAAGGAGUGAAUGGUUUUCGUCCUCAGAGCACUCAGAGUUCCUGAGAAUGAAGCAGAUCUCCACCUUAACAAGGAACAGUCUGGGUCCUGGACCAGACUUUCAGUGACUGGAACCUUACAUGUUUCUCUAGGACAUCUGAAGAGAUUCAUGAGAUAUAAUGAUGGAGUGGAUAAGACAAGUUUCUUUUAACUGAACCCUCCUCUCAAUCAAUUUGAAGACUUAUUGAGAAUCACACAGAAGAUUUGUUGCUGUGCACAGCUGAAGUUUGUGAAUCAAAGGGCAAGAAGAAUAAGAAAAUAACUAAGAGAACCUUAGCCACAAAGAAAAAUCUGAAGACAAUCAAAAGA